rnacentral:rRNA from 1 species
CCUACGGGAGGCAGCAGUGAGGAAUAUUGCACAAUGGGGGAGACCCUGAUGCAGCGACGCCGCGUGAGUGAAGAAGUCCUUAGUGGUGUAAAGCUCUAUCAGCAGGGGAGAAAAUGACGGUACCUGAGUAAGAAGCCCCGGCUAACUACGGGCCAGCAGCCGCGGUAAUACGGAGGGGGCAAGCGUUAUCCGGAUUUACUGGGUUUAAAGGGAGCGUAGAGGGCAUUGCAAGUCUGGAGUGAAAGGCGGGGGCUCAACCCUCAGACUGCUCUUGAAACUGGAUGGCUGGAGUGAAGGAGAGGUAAGCGGAAUUCCUGGUGUAGCGGUGAAAUGCUUAGAUAUCAGGAGGAACACUGGUGGCGAAGGCAGCCUGCUGGACUGCGACUGACGUUGAGGCCCGAAAGCGUGGGUAGCAAACAGGAUUAGAUACCCUUGUAGUC